rnacentral:rRNA from 1 species
AGCCGCGGUAAUACGGAAGGGGCAAGCGUUACCCGGAUUUACUGGGUGUAAAGGGUCCGCAGGCGGUUGGGUGUGUCAGUUUUGAAAUACUCUGGCUCAACCAGAGAAUAGGAACUGAAACUACCCGACUUUGAGUCUAGAUGGGGGAAAUGGAACUGCCGGUGUAGCGGUGGAAUGCGUAGAUAUCGGCAGGAACACCUGUGGCGAAGGCGAUUUCCUAAUCUGGAACUGACGCUCAGGGACGAAAGUGUGGGGAGCGAUCGGGAUUAGAUACCCCGGUAGUCCACACCGUAAACGAUGGGUGCUAGGUGUCGGUCUGGUAAAACGGAUCGGUGCCGAAGUUAACACGUUAAGCACCCCACCUGGGGACUACGGUCGCAAGGCUGAAACCCAAAGGAAUUGACGGGGGUCCGCACAACCGGUGGAACAUGUGGUUUAAUUCGAUGAUACGCGAAGAACCUUACCUGGGCUUGACAUAUACCUGGUAGGAGUCCGAAAGGGCAACGACCUGUCUUCCAAGACAGGAGGGUAAACAGGUGGUGCAUGGCC